rnacentral:tRNA from 2 species
GCGGGUAUAGUAUAAAGGCUAUUAUACCGCCUUGCCAUGGCGAAGAUGCCGGUUCGAUUCCGGUUACCCGCUCCA